CCAGGGCGCUAGUACAACACCAAAGCAUUCAGCUUACACCUGAAAGAUAUCUGUCCCACCCAGAUCACCCUGA
rnacentral:tRNA from 1 species